CCUAAAUUUACCUAAACGAGUGGUAAAGAUUGCAUAAAUAAAGAACAUUCCCGUCCAACGCUUCAAAAAUAAAGAUUUCACUAUAAUUAAUAUUUGUACAAUAAUAAAAAUAAAAGAAAAUACAAAUACAAAAAAAUCAAGCUCUUGAAUAUCAUUCCCGAAAACCUGUACAAACACUUAUAAUAAAAAUAUUAAUAACAAAUAAAUAAUUAUAAAAGGACAUUAUAGAUAUAUGUAUUUUAAAAUAUAAUUUUUAUUAAAAAGUGAACUCAGAUAAUUUUUUAAAAAAAUUAUAAAGAUUUCAUUGCUCAAAAUAUUUAUUUUUAUUACGUACUUGUAUACGUAAUAUCCAUCAUUUUAUCUGUGGAGACUUUGAAAAUCCAUGAAAAAUUUCUUCAUCAGCCAUUUGCCAAUUAAAUUAUAAAACUUAUCAACAAAAUAAUAAAGCCAAAGAAAACUAUCAAACCACAUUCACACAGAAGAAAAUUUAUCAAUAUUUAUUGAAAAAGGCUACCCACUGAAGUUGGAAAAAUGCACAACAAUAAUCAAGCAAAAUGAAAGUAAAGUAGUAGCUACCAAAUAAAAUGCACUUAUCUUUUCUUAACAAUCACCAACAACAAAACAAAUGAACUUCACUGGAAACAAAAUUUACGGUCAAAAUCAUUUAAUCAAAAGCAAGAAAAUGAAGGCUGCCAUUAAUAUUGAGAAAAUAAAGCUCAUACAUAAGCUGAAAUUCAGUCCAAUCAAAACACAUAAUAUAAUUGAAGCAAAAAAGGGUAAAGAAUUUCACCGGAGGACUACAAUUUCCAAGCAGAUUUAUGCAAAACAAAACACAUAAUAUACAAAAAUUAAUGAAAGUCAGUCCACCGAACAGUGAAAAUUCAAAGCAAAGGUAGUUGUCGGCGUUGCUUCAACGGCGUUCGCCGGAGCAACGCCUCAAACGUUGAGAAUCCGGCCAGAUCUGGCCCUUUUUUAUGUGACAGUGGCGGCAGUUUAGUGUUCGGGAGAAGGGAGCUCGCCCGCCGGUGACCAAAUCCGGCGAGGCGCGGCACAAUGGAAAAAGGGGAAGGGAAAGAAGGGGAAAGGGAGGCGGGUUGAAGGUUUGGUGGCUGAAACUCGCCAGCCAUCAACUCCGGCGAGCCAGCGGCGAGACGCAGAGCAAGGAGAGGAGGCACGUGGUGGUGGUGGUGGUGAUGGUGAAACUCACCGGAGCUCGGUGGUGGUGAGGCGGCAGUAAGGGCAAAAAAGGGCGUGAGAGAGAUGAGAGGAUCUGAUAUGUUUUUUGUUAGUGUGUGUUUUAAAGUGUUGAAGAAAAAAUAACACCCCUCCCUUCUUUAUUUAUAAU
rnacentral:lncRNA from 1 species